GUUCCCACUUUCUAAGCGCUGGUUUUAAUUUUUGAAGUCCGCUCAAAUUUCAUUUAUUUCUUCUCUCACUAAAAUCAGAUUCAAAGACUCGGUUGCGGCUAACUAGGUUACCACAAUUCUCAAUUUUCCCCAAAACUUCAUCACAUAUGGAUUCGAGUAUGAGAGUAUCUCCAUCUUUCUCCGCUUCUUCGUCAGUUUUUGCAAGCACAUGAAGCCUUGAUUUCUCAUAUUUGCUUCUAAGACUCAAACAGCAUUCAGGAGGCAACGUUCCAUUGAUGAAUCGAGUAAUGUCAUUUGCUGGUUUUGAUCACCAGGGUUCUUCUAGAAGGUUUGUAUAUCUGUGGUUAUAAGUAAAUAUAUAUAGGUGUACGUUGUGUAGAAGCAUGUCGUAAUGAAGUUCUACCCUACUUGCUGUAUUUUCAUAUGACUUGAUUCAAGGAUGAGAAUAUGUAUAAAACUACAAAGAGUAUAUCUUUUAUUUCCCACUUAAUCCACCUAUUUUGAUAGAUUAUAUUUUUUUUAUCUUUGAUCUCUCUUACUUCUAUAUUUUCAAGUUUGUUUCCCUCCUGAAUAGAGUCAAUAGACACAGAACUUGCAGCUAGUCUUGCUCGAUCGGUUAAUAUGAGUCUUGCUCUUGCACUGGUAAUGCUAGAACAUUGGAGAUGAGUUCAGUACCAGCUGGAGGCGUUGAAUUGGUUUAAAAGUUUCAAACUUUCAUCGCCUGGCAGUGUAUAUGAUUGGAACAAGUAAACUAGGUAUUUAGAAUGCUUGGCUGACUCUUUUUGAACAUGAGUUUGCAGGCUUUUGUAGGUUGAUGAAGACGUGAAGUAGCAUCAGCUAGGCUUUAAUGCUUUGUUACUAUUUUGUGCUCAGUAAAGUAGUAACAUCACACCCUAAGAAGCAUCAGACUGGAAUUGACACUAAAUUUAUGGAAGUGCUGACAUUCAGAGAACACCACAUGACAUUUUUUCAGAAGUCAGAUCUGUUUUUCAUCUGUCUGCAACAACCUCUGUCCUUUAACAUCCAAGUUCAAGAAACAGAACUGGAAGCAGCUUAGGUAAUUUCAUUAACAUUCAAUUCACUAUUAGAUUAUGGGUAUUUAACGACAAUAUAUUAACGACAAACUUUCUCUCUUCGGUUAUAUCUUAGUUCUGAUAAAGAGCACAAGAACAUUGCAAGCAAAGACAACAUGUUAAUGGUCACUUUUGUUUUUCUGGUUUUAGAUGAUAUGGCUGCUUAUUCCUCAUCAUACUAAUAUUGAACCUUGUUUGUUGGUGCGAAAUGUAAGUGGUUGCGGUGCUGAAAGAUUGUGAGGGGGCUGGGGUACUAGAGCCUCGCAUAUAUAUGUUUGUGCAUGCAAGUAUGUUAUCUGGCACCGUUUUAUACUGUUGAACAUUUUCAAGGUUUUGUAGCUAUAGCUGAGCUGCUUAGUUAUCAUGUGAAUCUGGCUAAUUGAGAUUGUUUUUCAUUGUGAAACUUGUGUUUUCUAAAGUUUGUAGAGGAUUUUCUUACUCUUUUAUAAGAGACUGUUCAAAAGAUAUUCUUAUUCAAUUAUGAUAUUUAAUUAUGUAUUAUGUUUCUCGACUGUAGUCCAAUGUUGUAUGGUUUAUAUUUUCAUUUCACUUAAACUUAUUCUACUUGUUGGACACUGUAGGUAUUCUAGGUCUCCAUCACCUAUGAAAAAAAGAUCUACGUCUCACUCUAGGUCCAUAUCUAUGUCUCCUCCUAGAUACCGGUCCCAUUCUCGUCCCAGGUCAAGGUUUGCGAGCCGUGGAAGGUUGGCUUGAAGCUUAAAAGGCACAUUUGUUGUUCGCUUUCUGCUUGACUGCUAACUCUUUAUUCUAUAGCAGGAUUGAGAUCCUCUAGAGUCACUCAUAGAGAACUUGAGGAUUUCUUUUCCAAGUAGGGAAAGGUGAGUACUGGAUGUAUCCUGAUCAAAUAUGCUGUUGUCAAGACAUGAAUGGACUUAAUGUUACUAUUCCAACUUCACAAGCUGGAUCAGAAAUGCAAAAAUAGGUCGAAGCUGCUACACAUCAAUUCUAGAUAUUUGGUGCAAAUUUUCUUAAUUUUUUUUAAGAACAAGGAAUCAUUGAGAUUUAAUUCUUAGUAUGGACCAAGUUAUAUAUUUGACCUUAUUAGUUUGGUUGUUUUGUUCACAUUGAAUUUGUUUAUUAUAAAUCUUUUGUGAUU